GCUGGGUGCAGUGGCAUGUACUGUAGUCCCAACUACUCAGGAGGCUGAGGUGGGAGGAUCACUUGAGUCCAGGAGUUCUGGGCUGUAAUGCACUAUGCUGAUCGGGUGUCUGCACUAAGUUUGGCAUCAAUAUGGUGACCUCCCAGGAACCGGGGACCACCAUGUUGCCUAAGGAAGGGUGAACUGGCCCAGGUUGGAAACAGAGCAGGGCAAAACUCCCGUGCUGAUCAGUAGUGGGAUCACGCCUGUGAAUAGCCACUGCACUCCAGCCUGAGCAACAUAGUGAGACCCGAUCUCCA
ensembl:misc_RNA Metazoa_SRP Metazoan signal recognition particle RNA